UCUCCUACCUCUAUCCGAUCUCCUGCUCGCGUACGCCACCGCUCCGUGCGUAUCUCACAGCCGCGCCCGAUCUCUCCGAUCCCCACGUGGUUCUCAUGCGUCUGCACCACCUCGGGACCCCCAAGCUCUCCUCUUCCGAUUCGCUGCCUCGCCUCGCGGGACAGAGCUCGAAAUUGAGUGCAGCGACCCCGGUGAGCUCCGCCAUCCUAAGCAGCGCCGACGUGAAAUUCUCCCGCCUCGAUUUUAUACGACGAGUGAGUGAUACGAUGUAGGGUUACAAUGUCUAUACUCGACAUUUGUGUGUGGUGUUGAUGGACUUCAUGGAGAUUUUAUUUGCUUUUCUACUAAAUUUUGUUUGUAUGCUAGCUUGAGCUAUGCAGGUAUGUAUUAUAUUAAAUUCUGGAUCUACGAUGUAAUAUUAUGACAUGUGGUUUAUUCUUGAUA